UAGUGUUUGUUUAGUGUUCCUGUCCAUCAAAGAUAUAGAUAUGGGAGUACAUGUGUGUUGUUUGUUUUGUGAGACACAAAAAAGAGAGAGACACGGUUACACACAAGAGUACAUAAAAUACAUGUAUUUUGUGUCUCUCCCAAAUCAUGAGACACGAAUUUUCAUUCUGAGACAAAUUAAACUAAAAUUUUGGACAAAUUUAUCCUUAGUAUUUUUGAAAAUUCCAAAUUUAUCCAAACCAUUUGGCCCUUCUCUUCUCCUCUAUCAGUGCCUCAACCCCAUUCUUCUUCUUUCCAGAUCUUCUUCCUUCUUUCUUUCUUUCUUUCUUAGAAGUCCGACCACUGUCUCGCCUCCGGCCUUUCUCAAUCUCUUUGCCGCCAUUGCUAGCCGCAUCCCUCACUUGGAACUCUGACUCAACCUCUCCUUUCACCAUUGUGUUGUCUCUCUUCUGCCUCUUGCCUUCUCACCGCAUUGCCCCCUCACCGUUUCGGACUCGCCGUUAAUAUGAAUGUUCUGGUUUUGCAACCUCCUUCUCUCUCGAAGGGUUCGGGUUACGGGAGUCCAGAUCCAUCGUCAUCCAGAUUCGCCGGCAGCUUCAAGCUUCGACGGCGCUUCCCUCCACAUCCUCUCUCUACCAACGUCGUUCAUCCUUUUCAGAAAGAACGUCUCUGAUCUUUUCCUCUUCUAUUAUUCCUUUAUUAAAAAAAUUAUCUGUGUAUUUUAUUUUAUAGAUAUGCAACAAAUUAAAAUUUUUGUUGAUUUUAUUAAAUUUAAUUUAAAUUGGCAUAUUGUUGCUUUUAUAUUUGGUUGAAGAUUAUAGUGGUAUUGAUGUUGAUGAUAACUCUAAAAGAAGAGAUUGGAUAAAAAUAGUGAUAAAAAAGAAUGAUGGGAAUAAAAUUGACAUUUUAGUAAAAUUUUAAGUUGUA